rnacentral:rRNA from 1 species
GAUUUUCGCAAUGCCCGAAAGGGUGACUAUGCGACGCCGCGUGCAGGAUGAAGGCCUUCGGGUUGUAAACUGCUGUCAGGGGGGAAGAAACCCUGCCGUUGAACAGAUGGCAGGCUGACAUCACCCCCAAAGGAAGCCACGGCUAACUCCGUGCCAGCAGCCGCGGUAAGACAGAGGUGGCAAGCGUUGUUCGGAUUUAUUGGGUGUAAAGGGUCCGUAGGUGGUUAUGCAAGUCUGGCGUGAAAUCCCACAGCUCAACUGUGGAACUGCGUCGGAAACUGCAUGACUUGAAUAUCGGAGAGGUGAGGGGAAUUCUCGGUGUAAGGGUGAAAUCUGUAGAUAUCGAGAGGAACACCAGUGGCGAAGGCGUCUCACUGGCCGAUUAUUGACACUGAGGGACGAAAGCUAGGGGAGCAAACAGGAUUAGAUACCCUGGUAGUCCUAGCUGUAAACGAUGGGCACUAAGUAGAGGGGUUUUAAUC